rnacentral:rRNA from 1 species
ACUUAAGCAUAUCAAUAGCGGAGGAAAAGAAACUAACAAGGAUUCCCUUAGUAACUGCGAGUGAAGUGGGAAAAGCUCAAAUUUAAAAUCUGGCAGUCUUUUCUUUGGCUGUCCGAGUUGUAAUCUAGAGAAGCAUUAUCUGUGCUGGGCCAUAUACAAGUCUCCUGGAAUGGAGCAUCAUAGAGGGUGAGAAUCCCGUCUUUGAUAUGGACUUCCAGGGCUAUGUGAUGUGCUCUCAAAGAGUCGAGUUGUUUGGGAAUGCAGCUCUAAAUGGGUGGUAAAUUCCAUCUAAAGCUAAAUAUUGGCAAGAGACCGAUAGUGAACAAGUACCGUGAGGGAAAGAUGAAAAGAACUUUGAAAAGAGAGUUAAACAGUACGUGAAAUUGUUGAAAGGGAAACGCUUGAAGUCAGUCACAUUGGCAAGAAAUCAACCUUGCAUUUUCUGCUUGGUGCAUUUUCUGGUUAAUGGGUCAGCAUCAAUUUUGACCAAUAUAAAAAGGUCAGGGGAAUGUGGCAUCCUUUGUGAUGUGUUAUAGCCUUUGGUUGCAUAUAUUGGUUGAGAUUGAGGAACUCAGCAUGCYGCAAGGCCAGAUUAAUUAAUUUUAAUCAUGUUCAUGCUUAGGAUGUUGGCAAUAAUGGCUUUAAUCGACCCGUCUUGAAACACGGACCAAGGAGUCUAACAUACCUGCAAGUGUUUGGGUGGAAAACCCAAGUGCAUAAUGAAAGUGAAAGUUGGGAUCUCUGUCAUCGAGAGCACCAAUGCCCAGACCAGACCUUCUGUGACGGAUCUGAGGUUGAGCAAGUAUGUUGGGACCCGAAAGAUGGUGAACUAUGCCUGAAUAAGGUGAAGCCAGAGGAAACUCUGGUGGAAGCUUGUAGCGAUUCUGACGUGCAAAUCGAUCGUCAAAUUUGGGUAUAGGGGCGAAAGACUAAUCGAACCAUCUAGUAGCUGGUUCCUGCCGAAGUUUCCCCUUCAGCUCCUG